ACUACACAGUUGGGCUCGCUGACCAGCCUAAGCCAUGACCAGAUGAGGGAUGUGGCUGAGACACCAGGUCAUCUGAGGCUGUGUCAACUGAAGAAAAACACACAACCUACAAGUUGCAAGUUAUGUUUUAUUCAGGGAGCUCACUAAGGACUGUAGCCCAGGACACAGCCUCUCAGAUAAUUCUGAAGAAUUACUCUGAAGAGCCACUCUGUGCUUCCCAACCUUUGGCUUUCCUGCAAGGAGGUUCUUGACAAUAUUGUGUUCAGAAGCCAAUACCACAUCCUCCUGUCUCUACUUGCAAGAAAAUAACUGGGCUCCCAAUCAUCACCAUUGUCAUCAUCAUCAACAUUGCCAUUACCUUUUAUAAGGUGUUUAAUAUAUAUUCUAGGCAUUGUGUAAAUAUUAAAUCACUUCAUCUUCACAAGCACUCUAUGGUUGUAACAGCCAGCCUCCAAGAUGAUCCCCAAUGAUUCCUGUCUCUGAGUACUCACACCCCGAUACAGUCCCUCUCACAUUGCACCGGGGCUGGCCUAUGGGACCAAAGAAUAUGAAAGAAGUGAUGGCAUGCCACUUUUGAGAUUAGGUGAUAAAAGGCAUUGCAGCUGUGAUAUUGGUCAUUCUCUCUCUCUCAGUCAUCACUAGUUCUGAGGGAAAUCAGCUGCCAUGCCAUGAGCAGCCUUUGGAGAGCCACCCCCCCCACCCAUGACAUCCACACAACAAGGAACUGAGGACUUUUGCCAACAAGCGUAUGAUUCAGAGCCUUCUUGGAAGUGGACCUGGCCAAGGGUUCAGAUGACAGCAGUUCUCCCUGGCAUUUUGUAACUUCACAAGAGACCCUGAGCCAGAACCAUCCAGUUAAGCAAAACCUAAAUUCUUCAACCUCAGAAGAGGACUCCGACCUGCAGCUGAGCCGGCGCGAACACACGGAGGACACGGCUCGUCCAGCUCAGACACCUGCAGAAAACCAAUCCCUGCAUGCUCCAGAGUCCCGCUGUCACCAGGGGCCAGGAAACAAGCCGACAGUCCCUGAUCAAUUUCUUUAGCUGGUGAGGAGGGAGGGGCCAGUAAAAGGCGCUACGCCGGCGUGUUACCAGUGCCAGCCUCCCGCUUCCCGGUACC